UUUCUAUCUGUUCGUUUUUUCCUCUUCACUGAACUUAUGAGUUGUAUGGUAAAACAAUAAAUAGAAUUAGUCAAUGCAUAAUAAAUUGCUGUGCUUAUAACAAAUCCAGCGCAGCGAAAGCAGAAUGUUUUUUAAUUGCCAAACCAUUUCACCCUUUGUUCUCGCAAUAGUACAGUCAGGGGCAACAUGGCGCUUGGCAGGGUCGGCGGCUGCAUCCGAAUACUGCUUCCCGAUUGUCCCUCAAAAGGAUUACUUUGUGGCCGCAUACAAUCGGACUGUAUGGCAUGCAGAGUAGGAGCAAAAAGGCAUCUAUUGUCAGAGGAUGUUGUCAAACUACAAGAAUUUCAGCAGCGGAAACAGGCAGUGGCUCAUCAAGUGUCCGGAUCAAAAAGUUGGCUACUCAAGUUUUAAUGUGACAUGGACAAGUACAGUGACAUGGACAAGUACAGUGACAUGCCUCUCUUGCAAGCUCCAAAUACAACAAUGCAGUAAAUGCAGCACUAAACACAAGGUCAUUAUUUGGAGGUAUUCAAUCGGAAGCUAAAGAAGAACGAGUUAAUAUUGAAGGAUGGCCUGAAACUGCUUCUACACCUAUGCCAAUCUGCAGAGGACAUGGUCAUAGCCAGAGGUGCCAUCUACAGAGUGAUGUUGAAAAAGCACAAUCUAUGUUCAGUCAGAUUAUGAGCACUGACAGCAGAAUAUGUCAAAAUCUCAAAGUGCUGAUUGGCUAUGGCAGGAGCUGUGAAAGAAUCACUCUCUGUCUUGACCUUAGCAUUGGGAUCCAGCAGCCCUGCAUUUAUAAAGAAGCCUGAAUUCGCAGAAGGAAGUGGUGGACUUAGUGCGUCUUCAGAGCGAGGACAGCCCUCUGAUGGCGAGCGUGGAGCAGGCAGUGUCCCACCUCCAGCAGGCAGGUCAGGUGACCCAACGAAACCUGGACAAGAUGUUGUGUCAUACCCCCAUGGGGAAGAAGAGGGUGCCCAUGGGGAUAAUGGACGAGAGAAUGAUCAGCCAGAGGACUCUGAGGCCUCUGCAGUCCACUCUGUUGUCAGAGUGAAUGGGACUAGGUGUAUCUCUCAGCGUGUUUGAGGGGAUCCAGGUGAGGCGCAGAAUUGUGAAUCUUGAUCAGGUACUGAGUAGGUUUUUGGGAGGGGAUUUGCAGAUCAGUGAUUCUGCGCAGUCCGAGUGCAAUGUAGUCGAUUUUAAACAAACAUUGUUUCAUUCUAAACUCUGCCUUAAUUGUACCAGUCCCUGUCACAGCCAUGGAGGUCUGCUCUCACACCACCCAAGCAAGGCUGAACAGAGAUGCGCUCUCUCCCUACACCCAGACCUGGACUUUAUAGAGACCGAUAGUGUACCAGUCAGUGCAAUGUAUCUCUCCUCUCAGCCAGAGACCCUUCUGUAUUCCUCCUUUUUGAUCAUAUUCUUCACCCGUUCGCAUGCAAUGGUACAGGUAUACUAGUUGGUUCUACGUCUGGGGAGCCUCUUCAGAGCAUUUCAGACUUUUAACUGCUGACUGUGAAAAGGUUUGUUGAAUCCAAGGGACAUCAAUGUGUGCAAAAGAAGAAUGUAAUGGUGUAUGUGAGACAGAUAUGUAUAAACAUGUAAUUAUUUGAGAUUUAUAGGGUAAUACAUAUUGAAUGAAAUAAAAGCUGAUGUUGUAGAACUCUUUAUUAUUUUA